rnacentral:rRNA from 1 species
AUUGAACGCUGGCGGCGUGCUUAACACAUGCAAGUCGAACGAAGUGGCGAACGGGUGAGUAACGCGUAAUCAACCUGCCCUUCAGAGGGGGACAACAGUUGGAAACGACUGCUAAUACCGCAUACUGAAGGAGGGGAUUGCGUCUGAUUCGCUAGUUGGAGGGGUAACGGCCCACCAGGGCGAUGAUCGGGAGCCGGUCCGAGAGGAUGAACGGCAACAUUGGUACUGGGACACGGCCCAGACCCCUACGGGAGGCAGCAGGGGGGAAUCUUCCGCAAUGGACGAAAGGCUGACGGAGCAACGCCGCGGGAGUGAGGACGGCCUUCGGGUUGUAAAGCUCUGUUAAGCGGGACGCGGUACCGGAAUAGAAAGCCACGGCUAACUACGUGCCAGCAGCCGCGGUAAUUC